rnacentral:snoRNA from 1 species
AUGCUGUGAUGAUACAUGGUUUCACAUCCAGCUGAGUUUCAGCAAUGGCACCUUUCUCCUUGGCUGUCUGAGCUU